AAAUGCAAGCAGCCUCCUUCAGUUCAGCCUCCAGCUCCCAGAGAAUGCAACCGUGUCCAUACAGGGCCAUCUUAGGAGGACAGAAGCACACGGACUUUCCCUGAACCAAAACUGGGACCUCUGGCAGCUGAAGACAGAGGUGGUGAUAGCAAAGCCAAUCCAGGCUGGGCGCUGGUAGGGGUCCUCCAUGAGCGCCGAAAUCACCACCACCUGGGAGGAGAGGCGGGGACAAAUCCACAAAGGAGCUCCAGCCUAGGACCCUUCACUGGCCCGCCCUCCACAGGUACAGACCGACUUUCCUCAGCCAGACCCGUGUUCCCUGUUGGCAAGAGAAGAAGGAAGAAGGAAACAGAAUCCCAUAGAGAAAGCUGGCCGAUUUCCCCAUUUAUUGAUUUUCUGGAGUCCACUCACGUGUGGGGAAGACCAGGAUGCAUGGAGGACUUGGAAUUCAAACUUUAAUCAUCGCUACCUGUGCAGAGCU